rnacentral:misc_RNA from 1 species
AUUUAUUUUGCGUUCCUCCAGCCAGUCGCCGCCGACGUCUACCAUCAUCUCCUCUCCAACAUCUCAAUCCCCUUCUUACAUUUUCUCGCAACAUGGUAAAGACUUAGUCUCAGUCUUCAGCACCUAUCCCCAUUGUCGCACAGUCUCGCCGCUUUCCACAUUGCCAAGGUGGCCAUUUCCCUCCAUCAACAUCGCACCACUGCCUCUUGGCAGCACCUACAACCCAUUCCCCAUCUUUUGACGCAUUUCCACUCUCUCCUCCAUGCAAACCUUAUCUCCCUCGACACACACAGCCACUAGGAAGCCCACCCUCAACAGACCCAUCUCACCCACGUUGGGUAGUAGCUAAUGUUUUUCUUGGUUCCAGCUAGUAUGACCUAUUGGGCUUAUUUACUCAACUUAUGAGAAAGUGAACUCCCAGUAAGUAGGCCAUUUGGAUAAAGAAGAAGAAGGGCUAGAGUCCCAAUCUCCUAAAAAAAUAAAUAAUAAUCAUUGAACACAAUGUAUGUAUGAUGCAUUCACCUUAUUCCUCCCUACCUGAGCAAAAAUCUCUUUGAUGCUCUUGUUUUAUGCCAAUUUCAUUUCUCUACAAAACCCAACUUAAUCUUCCCAUUCCUUACUAUUCUUCAGCCCUCAAGCAAAUUAUAUCCAUGGCCUCUAUCUCCUCUCCGCACUUAUCCCCGCCCACCCACAUCCACUCCAUGGAAAACCCACCUUUCUCCCUCAUCCAAAGCUGCAAAUCCAUGGACCAACUCAAGCAAAUCCACUCCCAAACGAUCAAAACUGGCAUCAUAUGCAAUCCCAUUAUACAAAAUAAGAUCUUUGUCUGUUGCUGUGCUCAAGAAUUCGGGGAUAUGGAUUAUGCACGACAACUAUUUGAUGCAAUUGCUGAACCAACAGUCUUCCAUUGGAAUACGAUGUUCAAAGGGUAUUCUCGGAUUGAUUGUCCUAAACUAGGAGUUUCUAUGUAUUUACAAAUGUUAAAGAGGGAUGUUAAGCCUGACUGUUACACUUAUCCAUUCUUGAUGAAAGGUUUUACGCGUGAUAUUGCACUCCAAUAUGGGAAAGGGCUGCAUUGUCACGUAGUGAAAUAUGGUCUUGAUUCCAACGUGUUUGUUCAAAAUGCGUUGAUAAAUAAGUACUCUUUGUGUGGUUUAAUUGAUACGGCCCGUGGAAUUUUUGAUAUGAGUUCUAAGAGUGAAGUGGUCACUUGGAAUGCAAUGAUUUCUGGUUACAAUCGAAUAAAGCAAUAUGAUAAAACUAGGAGGCUUUUCUAUGAGAUGGAGAAGAAAGAAGUGCUACCAUCAACGGUUACUCUUGUUUCGGUAUUAUCAGCUUGCUCUAAGUUGAAGGAUUUAGAAUGUGGCAAACUGGUUCAUAAGUAUGUUUCUGACCACAUUGUGGAGUCUAAUUUGAUAGUGGAAAAUGCUUUAAUUGAUAUGUAUGCGUCAUGUGGUGAAAUGACCGUUGCACUUAGGAUUUUUGAGAGUAUGAAGAGAAAGGAUGUGAUUUCUUGGACUGCUAUUGUUACUGGGUUUGUGAAUAUGGGACAACUUGAUAUAGCCAGAAAGCAUUUUGACCAGAUGCCUGAAAGAGAUCAUGUUUCGUGGACUUGCAUGAUAGAUGGAUACCUUCAAGUUAAUUGCUUCAAAGAGGCUUUGAUUCUCUUCCGUCAAAUGCAAACUUCCAAUGUAAAACCAGAUGAGUUCACCAUGGUUAGCAUACUUACAGCUUGUGCUCAACUUGGGGCACUGGAACUAGGAGAAUGGGUAAAGGCUUACAUUGACAAAAACAAGGUCAAGGAUGAUGCCUAUGUGGCGAAUGCUUUGAUAGACAUGUACUUCAAAUGUGGGAAUGUUAAAAAAGCACAAGACUUAUUCAAUGAUAUGUCUCAGCGGGACAAAUUUACGUGGACAGCCAUGAUUGUUGGUCUUGCCAUUAAUGGAUAUGGUGAAGCCGCCCUUGAUAUGUUUUCCCAAAUGCUGAAAGCUUCAGUAAUUCCAGACGAAAUAACUUAUAUUGGUGUUCUCUGUGCUUGUACUCACACUGGCAUGGUAGAUGAAGGAAGAAAGUUUUUUGCGAGCAUGAUCACCCAACAUGGAAUUGAGCCAAAUGUGACUCAUUAUGGAUGUUUGGUUGAUCUUCUUGGCCGAGCUGGGCAUGUAAAAGAAGCUCAUGAAGUAAUAAAGAAUAUGCCCAUGAAACCAAAUUCAAUUGUUUGGGGAUCCCUUCUUGGCGCAUGUAGAAUUCAUAAAGAUGCGGACAUGGCUGAAAUGGCAGCAAAACAGAUCCUUGAAUUAGAGCCAGCUAAUGGGGCAGUUUAUGUUAUUCUAUGUAAUAUAUAUGCAGCUUGCAAUAAGUGGGAUAAUUGGCGUGAAUUAAGGAAAGAUAUGAUGGAUAGAGGCAUCAAGAAAAUCCCUGGUUGCAGUUUGAUAGAAAUGAAUGGCGUUGUCCAUGAAUUUGUUGCUGGGGACCAGUCUCAUCCUCAAAUUAAGGACAUAUAUCUGAAGUUAGAUGAAAUGACAAGUGACUUGAAAUUUUCAGGGUAUUCGCCUGAUACUUCCGAGGUGUUUCUUGACAUCGGGGAAGAAGAUAAAGAGAGUGCACUUUACCAGCAUAGUGAGAAGCUGGCUAUUGCAUUUGGGCUCAUUAGUUCAGAAAAUGGAUCCACAAUUAGAAUUGUGAAGAACCUCAGAAUGUGUGUAGAUUGUCAUCAAAUGGCAAAGUUGGUGUCAAAGGUGUAUGAAAGAGAAGUGAUUGUCAGGGAUCGAACUCGUUUCCAUCAUUUCAGGUACGGUUCAUGCUCUUGUAAAGACUAUUGGUGAGAGUUGAAUCAGUGGUGAAUUGCAAAUUUAUUAAUCUAAUUGUUCUUUAUAGUAUUUUGGCUGGAAACUAGUUAGCAUGAAUCUGGUAGUUUUAUGUAUUCGCCAACAAGUAGGUAAAUAAAUUCUAAAACAAUUUGUACUUCAUGUAGACAAGUUUUGUAGGAUUUUAAUGAUCAGUCGCCAAGUCUCUUCUCUGUUGCCACUAAUUAUUUGGAUCAGAAAAUUAUUCAGUAUAUACAAUGUCUAAAGUUAUGAUCUUUGGUUUUGCUGUAAAGCCUGUUAUACGAGGAACUUUAUUGU